UCUCCGUUGGUGAACCAGCGGAGGAAUCAUU
rnacentral:rRNA from 1 species